AACGAACGCUGGCGGCAGGCUUAACACAUGCAAGUCGAGCGCCCCGCAAGGGGAGCGGCAGACGGGUGAGUAACGCGUGGGCACGUACCUUUUGGUUCGGAACAACUCCGGGAAACUGGAGCUAAUACCGGAUAAGCCCUAACGGGGAAAGACUAAUCGCCGAAAGAUCGGCCAGCGUCUGAUUAGCUAGUUGGUGAGGUAACGGCUCACCAAGGCGACGAUCAGUAGCCGGUCUGAGAGGAUGAUCAGCCAGACUGGGACUGAGACACGGCCCAGACUCCUGCGGGAGGCAGCGGUAGGGAAUAUUGGACAAUGGGCGCAAGCCAGAUCCAGCCAUGCCGCGUGAGUGAUGAAGGCCUUAGGGUUGUAAAGCUCUUUUGUCCGAGAAGAUAAUGGCUGUACCGGAAGAAUAAGCCCGGGCUAACUUCGUG
rnacentral:rRNA from 1 species